rnacentral:rRNA from 1 species
UGGGGAAUAUUGCACAAUGGGCGGAAGCCUAAUGCAGCAACGCCGCGUGCGGGGUGACGGCCUUCGGGUUGUAAACCGCUUUCGCCUGUGACGAAGCGUGAGUGACGGUAAUGGGUAAAGAAGCACCGGCUAACUACGUGCCAGCAGCCGCGGUGAUACGUAGGGUGCGAGCGUUGUCCGGAUUUAUUGGGCGUAAAGGGCUCGUAGGUGGUUGAUCGCGUCGGAAGUGUAAUCUUGGGGCUUAACCCUGAGCGUGCUUUCGAUACGGGUUGACUUGAGGAAGGUAGGGGAGAAUGGAAUUCCUGGUGGAGCGGUGGAAUGCGCAGAUAUCAGGAGGAACACCAGUGGCGAAGGCGGUUCUCUGGGCCUUUCCUGACGCUGAGGAGCGAAAGCGUGGGGAGCGAACAGGCUUAGAUACCCUGGUAGUCCACGCUGUAAACGGUGGGUACUAGGUGUGGGGUCCAUUCCACGGGUUCCGUGCCGUAGCUAACGCUUUAAGUACCCCGCCUGGGGAGUACGGCCGCAAGGCUA